AAGAAAGGAAUGAAAACAGUAAGUGCUGCUAAUACUUAUGCCCCGUGGUUAAACUCCGCGGCUUUCUUG
rnacentral:tRNA from 1 species